GGAAUAUAAGAAACCGUUUCUUAACUUUUAACUAAAAAAGUUAAUAAACCUCUUAAAUAAGAUAUUUAAAAGCCGGUUCUUAAUUUUUUUAGUUAAAAGUUAAGAGACGAGACGGUUUCUUAUAUUUC
rfam:Brassica napus, WGS project CCCW01000000 data, contig: 2263